rnacentral:rRNA from 1 species
GAUGGACGCUGGCGGCGUGCCUAAUACAUGCAAGUCGAGCGAACGGACGAGAAGCUUGCUUCUCUGAUGUUAGCGGCGGACGGGUGAGUAACACGUGGAUAACCUACCUAUAAGACUGGGAUAACUUCGGGAAACCGGAGCUAAUACCGGAUAAUAUUUUGAACCGCAUGGUUCAAAAGUGAAAGACGGUCUUGCUGUCACUUAUAGAUGGAUCCGCGCUGCAUUAGCUAGUUGGUAAGGUAACGGCUUACCAAGGCAACGAUGCAUAGCCGACCUGAGAGGGUGAUCGGCCACACUGGAACUGAGACACGGUCCAGACUCCUACGGGAGGCAGCAGUAGGGAAUCUUCCGCAAUGGGCGAAAGCCUGACGGAGCAACGCCGCGUGAGUGAUGAAGGUCUUCGGAUCGUAAAACUCCGUUAUUAGGGAAGAACAUAUGUGUAAGUAACUGUGCACAUCUUGACGGUACCUAAUCAGAAAGCCACGGCUAACUACGUG